rnacentral:rRNA from 1 species
UCGAACGGUAACAGGAAGCAGCUUGCUGCUUCGCUGACGAGUGGCGGACGGGUGAGUAAUGUCUGGGAAACUGCCUGAUGGAGGGGGAUAACUACUGGAAACGGUAGCUAAUACCGCAUAACGUCGCAAGACCAAAGAGGGGGACCUUCGGGCCUCUUGCCAUCGGAUGUGCCCAGAUGGGAUUAGCUAGUAUGUGGGGUAACGGCUCACCUAGGCGACGAUCCCUAGCUGGUCUGAGAGGAUGACCAGCCACACUGGAACUGAGACACGGUCCAGACUCCUACGGGAGGCAGCAGUGGGGAAUAUUGCACAAUGGGCGCAAGCCUGAUGCAGCCAUGCCGCGUGUAUGAAGAAGGCCUUCGGGUUGUAAAGUACUUUCAGCGGGGAGGAAGGCGACAGGGUUAAUAACCCUGUCGAUUGACGUUACCCGCAGAAGAAGCACCGGCUAACUCCGUGCCAGCAGCCGCGGUAAUACGGAGGGUGCAAGCGUUAAUCGGAAUUACUGGGCGUAAAGCGCACGCAGGCGGUCUGUCAAGUCGGAUGUGAAAUCCCCGGGCUCAACCUGGGAACUGCAUUCGAAACUGGCAGGCUAGAGUCUUGUAGAGGGGGGUAGAAUUCCAGGUGUAGCGGUGAAAUGCGUAGAGAUCUGGAGGAAUACCGGUGGCGAAGGCGGCCCCCUGGACAAAGACUGACGCUCAGGUGCGAAAGCGUGGGGAGC